ACAGCCCAGCCAGGCCCAUUGUAAGGGACUAGAAACUUGUCUCAACAUUGUCGGCAGAAUGGCUUGACUACCAAGGCUUCGCCACGACGGCAACUGAGGAAGUUCUACACAGCAGGAACAUAUAUACCCACAUCUUGUUGCCUCAGAGCACAUAGGCCCAGUCCUCUGCACAUGCGCCUGGCCCCAGGGUCAUCUUACAACAUAUGGGAGGGGGGCUCGGACCCCCUGGAACCCUCUGGAACCGUUGAGCACCUUCUAGUGACGAUACUGCGCAUGCGCCCCCCUGCCGAGCGGGAGGUGCGGCCGUGCAAACCCCCUCACUGACUGCGGCGGGACCAGCGGAGGGCAGUUGGAGCGUUCCCCCACCGGGCUGACGGGACAUCGGGCCGACGGGAUGCCGCAGAUCCGUGGUGGUGCAAUGUGGGUAUGGUGGACAUAAGAACUAGUCCCUGGAAGAGAAGAGAGAUGCUGGUGUGCUUAUUCAUCUUCUGGCAUACUGUGGCUUUAGAUAUAAUGAAAUCUCAUCUGUCCCUGCCUAGGGGGAUGCAGAUACAUCAUGUUAAUGGCCAAUCCCACUUUUCCACCAUCUUUCCUCCCAACCAGUCCUGGCCAGUCAACCCACUCUGAAGAACUGACCCUUCUUGUUCAUCUGCUCUACAUACACUGCUCUAGUCAUCAAAGAUGAAAGACGGAUUCCCACACUCUCUGAAACUAUCAGGAGACCCCCAGUUUUUCUUCAUACACUACCCAACCCAGCAUACAGAAGAGAAAAAAACCAAAGUUUUAAUUUGCCGUGCUGACAAGCCCAGGAUUUUAAGAUUAAGCUGUGUGUCUAAUGAUGCUAAUUAAGGAAAUCUCUGAAGAUCUAGCUGUGAUCAUAAUAAAUAAGAAUAAGGUCCCCAAUUUCCCUCUGAAAAAGGCAUUGUGAAAGGGGUGAAAUCAAUUUCUGAGGCAGUUGCAGCUAUGGCAAGAUCCCCAGUAAUGGAGCUGCUCUGUCAAUAUGAAGGCAGUUUAAUAAAAGCAAAAGAAAAGGCCAUGCGUGGAAGCAAAAGGAAAAAAAAGAUUCUAAGAUUCUAUUUUCUACUUCCCAUCAGCAGGUGAUGUCCAGCCACUUCCUGGGAAGCAGGGCUUUGGUACGCGUAACGGUUGCUCUGGAAGACAGACGUUGCAAAUUAGGAAUGCCCACCCCUACCCCACUUUCUCUUAGCUUUUGUUGCUGAGCGGAUGUCAUGUGGUAUGGAAUAUCCCUUUGGUCAGUUUGGGUCAGCUGUCCUGGAUAUGUCCCCUCCCAAGAUCUUGCCCACCACCAGUAGGCUGGGGGCGGUGGGGAAAAACUGGACAGACAGCCUUGGUGCUGUGCAAGUCGUGCUCAGCAGUAGCCAAAACACUGGUGUGUUAUCAACACCUUUCUAGCUACCAAUACAAAGCACAGCACUAUAAGGGCUGUUAUGGGGAAAAUUAAGUCCAUCUCAGCCAGACCCAAUACACCUUGCUAGUGUUUUCCAGCAACCUAGAACACUGCCUGCUGUGGGCAUAGAGCAUUUUCGAGUUAGCUGGGGACCAAUGUAGGUUGUGAAACACAGUGAUAUUUAAAAGACCUUCAGGUAUCCCACCUUGCCUCCAACUGCUACAGGAGUGUCACAGGUUCCCAGUAUUCAUGUCACAUGUCCACCUACCAUUGACAGGCAUCUCCAAUUCAUGCGUUGUCUAUGAUGCCUGUGUAUAGGCACCUGAAUAGCUCACUUGGUGUGUGGCAUGACUGAGCCUAGCAGUACCCUAGCCAGGCCUCCUCUAAAGUCUGUUGGCAUAAAUCUGCCCUUUAACUACCCUAAACCAGUCCUGGGGUAGCACCAUUCUAGUGGCCUUUUGUCAAGUAAAGGCCUUGCCUCUGACUCAGGUGAUUGGGAGACUGCUGGUGGAGUAGUAUUGUAGCAUUUCUGCUAACUACAACUCUUUCUCCUGUAGCUUGAGUGGCAGUUUUGAAGCCAAGAAACUUCAGCUGCAAUCACUGCUUUGGCCACAUGUGUGUUUUCUCAUUAGUGGGCUGAUUUGCUACAAAAUGCUGAGGAUUUCACAUGCCCAUUGAUAUUGUUCUUUGAUGAAUUCAGGAAAAUUCCA